rnacentral:piRNA from 1 species
UGACCAAUCAAUAAUGGCGUGAACUGGAUG